rnacentral:rRNA from 1 species
GACGAACGCUGGCGGCGUGCUUAACACAUGCAAGUCGAACGGAACGGCCCUGCCUUUGUGGGGUGCUCGAGGUGCGAACGGGUGAGUAACCCGUGAGUACCCUGCCAUUGACCUUGGGAUAACUUCAGGAAGGUGGGGGUAUUACCGGCUAGGAGCUCUCGCUGCAUGGUGGGGGUUGGAUGGUUUAGGCGGUUGGGAUUGGACUCGCGGCCUAUCAGCUUGUUGGUGGGGUAGUGGCUUAGCAAGGCUUUGACGGGUGGCAGGCCUGGGAGGCGGAGCGGCCACACUGGGACUGGGCUGCGACCCAGACUACUACGGGAGGCAGCAGUGGGGAAGAUUGCACAGUGGGCGGAGGCCUGGUGCAGCAACGCCGCGUCCGGGAUGACGUCCUUCGGUUUGUAUUGCGCAUCCGCCUUUGACGAAGCGUUAGUGACAGUAAUGGGUGAAUAAGCACCGGCUAACUCCGUG